rnacentral:antisense_RNA from 1 species
UUGACCCGGUACGGCAUGGGCUCGGCGCGGGUCCAGGCGUCGAGGUCGAAGAACUGGCCGUCGCCGAUCACCUCGAGGACCGCGUCCUCGCCGUAGCGGCCGCUGACCCGCUUCUCGGCGCGGCCCUGGACGAGGACCCACAGCGUGUCGUGCGCAUCGCCGUCCUGGGCCAGCAUCUGUCCGGACUCGAAGGUGACCUCGGUGAAGGCCGCGGCGAGUUCGGCGAGCAGUGCGUCGUCGGCCUCCCGCAGAUACGGAAGUUCGCGCAGGUCGCCCGGGAUGAUGCGCGGCGAUCCGUUGUCGGUGUGGGUGCUGAUGCGGUCGUCGCCGAGGACGUAGGUGCGGCGGCGGUUGACGCGGAAGACGCCGGAUUCGACGUCCACCCAGGGCAGCGCACGCAGCAGAUAGCGCGGGGUGAUGCCGCGCAUCUGGGGGCUGGUCUUGGUGGUGGUCGCAAGCUGCCGUGCGGCAUCCGGGCCGAGACUCAUGCGGUCGUUCACG